rnacentral:lncRNA from 1 species
AGCUCUGGGACUUCCCUGCAAUCCUUAUACUCCUUUGACAGCGUGUGGUUUGUGAGCUGGUGCUGCGUAGAUGCGCUUUCYGAACCAUCUUCUCGACCCGGCCGUACACAGGAGGAGAAAGCCCUGGACCUGACAAUCUCUCACCUGAAUUUUCCUACUCUGUAUUUUCCCRUUUCAGGGACAACUUUUUCUGCUUCUUUCCAGGUAGCAAAUACAUGGCCUAUGAAGUUCUCACCAGCAUACAAGGCGAGAAAGAAGACGGAACUUCUCAUGCAGCCCAGAGGAGCCAGUCACUAGCAGGAACUUGAUCAGCAGAACGGGUAAGUCGGCAGGAAGAGAGUCUCUUUGGCACUUCUGAAAUCUUUGCUUGAGCCAACACAAUUUAGAAAGCCUGUGUACAGUGUGAAAAAUAACAUGCUCAAUCCCUAAGCUUUUUCCAGUGUAACUCUUGGGCCUUUUAAAAUUACAGUUCGAAAAGUCGAUAGUGUAAUUUCUUUGUAGUCCAACUACAUAUAAAUAUUUUAUAGAAUCAGUUAAAGGAGUCACUUCUUAAUAUUGUUUUUGAAAACAAGGCAGCAAUUCUUAAAAUUUAAUUUAUUUUCUAUAGUGCCUAGCAUUCUGCUUGCUUCACCAAAAGAUUAGAAAAGAAGUUAAAAUGCUUCAGAAGCAAACCUUAUUAAAAUAGUCACUUGAAGGCCAUUCACAUUUUUCCACCACCAGGUUUACUAAUCUGUUUUGUAUACCACUGAAAUCAUUUUUUUAUUCCAGCAAAAAUUGCUCCAACAAUUAUUCYCACAAAUAAGUUUUUAAGCAGUUAAAAAUGGCCUGUUGCAUGUUAAAGGCUCUCAU